rnacentral:lncRNA from 1 species
CUUGUUUCCCGGUGAAGAGUUUCAGAGACAAAGACCAAAAAAGCUACUUGUGAAAUGAGCUCAAAAUGACAGUUCUUGUAAAAGUCCUCAGCAUUUUCCUUUGGAUAUUUUCCUUUAAUUUUGUGCGAGGUUAAGUGAAUUCACAAACGCCAACCCUGAGCUUGAUUCCUGUAACAACUCGGAAAAGUACAUUUUUCAUGUGUGUUAUUGAGGAUUUCUACCCCAUGGAUUACUACUUCACUAUACGUUGGAAAGUAAAUGAUACCAUCAGCCAGAUACAGUCAAAACUGGAGUACAAAUUGAAUGAUGAAGGUCUUUAUACAGCACAAAAUCUUUAUAAAGUCAGCAGUGAGACAUGGAAUGCAAAUACGAACUAUACCUGCGAGGUCACACACCAGGGCAAAACAAUUAUUGAGAAGAAGAACUUCAAGUCAUCUAAUGAUGGACUGAAACCCAGUGUUGUCAUUUACACACCUGAUUCUAUUGACACAGACAGAGUCUCUCUGGUGUGUGAGGUCACCAGCCCUAAACUUGGAAAUGUCAAUAUCAUGUGGAAAGUGGGUGAAGAGCCUUACAUAAAGGGCUCAACCAGCACUCCCAUCCAUCAACGGGACUCCACAUCUGUUCUCAGCAUACUAACAAUAUCAAAACAAGAGUAUGAAAAGUACAACACCAUCACCUGCUCAGUCAUACAUGCCAACAUGAAUAACAGAAGAAAUCCAUUACAAGUUUCAACAUCCUAAAGGAAACAG